CCCAGUUAAGUUUGGAUUUCAGAUAAACAACAGAUAAUUUUUUAGUGUAAGUAUGUCCCAUGCAAUAUUUGGGACAUACUUAUACAAAAAAAAAAUUACUGAUCAUUUAUAUGAAAUUCAAAUUUGACUGGAUAUCCUGUAUUUU
rnacentral:miRNA from 1 species